ACCGUGGUAAUUCUAGAGCUAAUACAUGCUAAAAACCCCGACUUCGGAAGGGGUGUAUUUAUUAGAUAAAAAACCAAUGCUCUUCGGGGCUCCUUGGUGAUUCAUAAUAACUUAACGAAUCGCAUGGCCUUGCGCCGGCGAUGGUUCAUUCAAAUUUCUGCCCUAUCAACUUUCGAUGGUAGGAUAGUGGCCUACCAUGGUAUCAACGGGUAACGGGGAAUUAGGGUUCUAUUCCGGAGAGGGAGCCUGAGAAACGGCUACCACAUCCAAGGAAGGCAGCAGGCGCGCAAAUUACCCAAUCCCGACACGGGGAGGUAGUGACAAUAAAUACUGAUACAGGGCUCUUUUGGGUCUUGUAAUUGGAAUGAGUACAAUUUAAAUCCCUUAACGAGGAACAAUUGGAGGGCAAGUCUGGUGCCAGCAGCCGCGGUAAUUCCAGCUCCAAUAGCGUAUAUUAAAGUUGUUGCAGUUAAAAAGCUCGUAGUUGAACCUUGGGCCUGGCUGGCCGGUCCGCCUCACCGCGUGUACUGGUCCGGCCGGGCCUUUCCUUCUGGGGAGCCGCAUGCCCUUCACUGGGCGUGUUGGGGAACCAGGACUUUUACUUUGAAAAAAUUAGAGUGUUCAAAGCAGGCCUUUGCUCGAAUACAUUAGCAUGGAAUAAUAGAAUAGGACGUGCGGUUCUAUUUUGUUGGUUUCUAGGACCGCCGUAAUGAUUAAUAGGGAUAGUCGGGGGCAUCAGUAUUCAAUUGUCAGAGGUGAAAUUCUUGGAUUUAUUGAAGACUAACUACUGCGAAAGCAUUUGCCAAGGAUGUUUUCAUUAAUCAGUGAACGAAAGUUAGGGGAUCGAAGACGAUCAGAUACCGUCGUAGUCUUAACCAUAAACUAUGCCGACUAGGGAUCGGGCG
rnacentral:rRNA from 1 species